rnacentral:rRNA from 1 species
UUGAACUAACAAGGUAGCCGUAGAUAACGGAGGAUCAAGGUCUGACUCCGGAGAGGGAGCCUUAGAAACGGCUACCAUGUCUAACGAUAGCUGCAGGCGCGAAAAUUACCCACUGUCAACACGACGAGGUAGUGACGAGAAAUAACGAGACCGUUCUCUAUGAGGUCGGUCAUUGGAAUGGGUACAAUCUAGACAUUUUAACGAGUACCUACAGGAGGGCAAGUCUGGUGCCAGCAGCCGCGGUAAUUCCAGCUCCUGUAAUGUAUAGAAUUAUUGUUGCGGUUAAAAAGUUCGUAGUUGGAUUGUCAAACCGUCCCGGGUCCACCUUAACGGGUGGUUACUCGUGGGCGGUAUUUUACGCGUUUGUAUGCAAUUGGCUAGUCUGAUUGUAUGCUGCGGGUAGGAUUACUUUGAACGGCUUAAGUGCUCAAGGCGAGUCUUACGGCUGAAUACCCGUGCAUGGAAUAAUGGAACAAGGUUUCGGCCGAGUUUUAUUGGUUUUGUCGGCUGAAACAAUGGUUAACAGGAACAGCCGGGGGCAUUCGUAUCGCUGCGCGAGAGGUGAAAUUCGUGGACCGUAGCGAGACGCACUAAAGCGAAGGCAUUUGCCAAGAGUGUUUUCAUUAAUCAAGAACGAAAGUCAGAGGUUCGAAGGCGAUUAGAUACCGCCCUAGUUCUGACCGUAAAUGAUGCCAACUGACAAUCCGCUCGUGGAUUUUUUUCAUGAGCGGGCGGUCUUCCGGAAACGAAAGUUUUUCGGUUCCGGGGGAAGUAUGGUUGCAAAGCUGAAACUUAAAGGAAUUGACGGAAGGGCACCACCAGGAGUGGAGCUUGCGGCUUAAUUUGACUCAACACGGGAAACCUCACCCGGCCAGUACAUCGUGAGGAUUGACAGACCGAUAGCUCUUUCAUGAUUCGGUGAAUGGUGGUGCAUGGCCGUUCUUAGUUCGUGGAUCGAUUUGUCUGGUUUAUUCCGAUAACGAGCGAGACGCCAACUGUUAACUAGUGCACGAAUUACUUCGGUUGUUCGUGAUCACUUCUUAAAGGGAUUUGUGGUUACUAGCCUCAAGAAAUGGCGCAAUAACAGGUCUGUGAUGCCCUUAGAUGUUCGGGGCCGCACGCGUGCUACAAUGGUGGUAUCA